UUGAAUAGAUCAGCACACAGCCCUGAACGUCUCGAAGUUGUAUUUGAAGUCGUUACGAAAAAAACUGUGAAAAGCAAUUAUACUUGGAACUCUAGUGUAAUACGUCUGUUUGGCUUCGACGCUGUCUAGUCACAUUACGCACAUCGUUCAUCGUCAAAAACACUGAGGGCUGACAGAGACGUCAGUUCUACGCUCACGUUGUUCUAUCCCAAACAAGUAUAAGUCUCUGCGGUUUGCGGUUCCGGUAAGACAAUGCGCAUCUUGAGGCGGGCAGUAACCGAGCGUUGUUUUGGCUCGCUUUAUCUUAUUUCCUACCGCCAUUUUAUUUUCAAAAGUAAUUAAGAAGCCUGCAGUUCUGGCUCAAUAUUCAGGACCGCACACAUAACACUGGUGCAUCAAUUUCUGGUGCCAAGUGUCAAAUAAUUGUGGUUUUCAAGCAGUAACUAUGAAGCGAUUGUUCACAACAGCCGCCGUUUCAAUGAAUAGUAUUCUAUUCUUUUCGGAUUGUAGCCGCCGAUUUCUACGUAACACAGCACAAACAACUUUAUUAUCCAUGUGCUUUUUUUCUUUAGCAAGAUCGUCAUUGUUCCAUCAAUUACGCUCAAUUGUCGAACGUGAAUGAAGAAUAAACGGAACGCAUUGAAUGGUACGUCUUCUCCGCUCGAUCAAAUGUUGAUGUGAAAGUCACGCGACGCUUACAUUUCCUCAAACGUUAUCAUAACAGAACAAAGAGGAGUUGCAGGUAUGUGUGUAAAACUUUCAUACAUUGAGGCACAUUGUGUAGGACAAAUAGUAUUACUAAAUAGAGCGUCUUGGCUAGUUUGCUUUGUCGAGUUGCAGAACCUUAUGACAAGCAGAAACCCGUUUUGACAAAUAAAUAAUUCUGUUUAUGCGUUCAACAAGUUUCCUUGGGGAUUAAUUCGGUUAUUACGCGGAGCGUAAAAGCCACUCCUUUAGUUAUAGUCUCACGGAGUAUCCUCUUUUGGUUAUAUGGAACGCGCUUAUAGGCAAAGAUAUCAGAGUUAUGAGGAUUCAGUUUAGGUGGACAGAACCGGGUCACUUAUAGAUACACCGUAAUUUAUUGUGCAAACUGAAAAAUCUUGAAAAAUGUGCUGAAGGUAGUCCCUCUAAAAGUGCUUUCUCUGCAAUAACAAUAGCACCAACAGCUCUGGAAGAUGUCAGGAAAAGUUACUUUGUUAGGCUUCGAUUUAGUAAACGUCUAUAUAAGUAGUAACUGGCCGGUUACUCGGCAAAACAUCAGACAGCGUUCGACAAGGACGUCGCCAACCACAUCAUUUUCAAGUCACCACUGGCCACUGCUAACAGCCGCAACGGUGUUGUCGAUAUUAUUUCUAUCAAAAAGACAAAAGCCUAUCUGCUUUCUUUAUCUGCCUAGAUGUUGUCCUUUUGUCCUGCUUAGCAUUCCCGUGUGUGCGAGUACAUCUAUACGUGAUGCGUCAACUUAUAACGAUCAAUAUGGUCAAACGCUUUCUUCAGUCGUUGUAUUUCUUUACGACGAUGAGUGAGGGCAUUUGGGGCAUAUUGAAUGUAAGGCAGAGAAAACUGAUCGUCUUCAUUUUUGCCAAUUUGUUUUUUUCUAUCACUGCCACUUUCUUCGUUGUUGUAUCGAAAUGGUGACGAGUGGUGCGAUCAGCACGCUGCUAACGUAAUGUUGCCGUUAACCGUGAAUGGAUUCGACUGCAAACGGGUAGCCAAACGUUUACAUUUAAAAAGGAAAUAUGCUAAAGACUAACACAACAAAGCAUGCCUGCACUGCUGACAGAGGCCAAUAAUAUAUUUUUGGUUGACUGUUAUAUACAUAGAUAUAUAUAUGCAUAGCAGCGACAAUUUAGGCGGUACUGGCCAUGGUAAACACGUUUCCUUUGUCUGUUCUGAUACUCGAACAUAUGUUUUGGAAUAACGGACUUAAUACGAUGCUGCUACAACCGCUUAAAUGGACACCCCGUGUCCUAAAUUUUCGUCUCAACGUCACUAACUGAAACUGCGUCGGUGUUCCUGGCCUGAUCGCUUAGAACGAUACAAUCACUUUCAUUACCCGUAUCGCUCGGACAGUUUAUUAUUACAUCCGUAGUACUUUUCCUUUAUUUUUUUUAUAUUUUACUGACGGCACCAACAUAAGAACGCUAUGAAGAGUUUGCUGUUGGUGCAAAGACGAACACUUGGGCGAUAUUAAUGUGCAAUUGUAUAUAUUUGCAGAUUGUAUUAAGCAUAUUAUACAGAAACAACAGAAUAUAUCAGAGUCAGACAUAAUGAAAUAGUAGUUCAUGUUGACUAGGUAAACUUACACAAAAGCUGAGCAGUCGUUUGAUUCUUUACAGAAUAAAUUGUGGCAGGUGUGGACGUUAGCAAACGCCCGUUUAUAUUUUUAUGAAAUGCAACCUCGUCUUUAUUCUGCCAUCUUUUAAUGCUAUUCGAUCCAGGAACAUAAUUCGGAUUGAACUAUACAGUAAAGUUUGCAACGGAUAAUUCAAGGAUGGAUGCACAUUAAUUUUGGAAUUAAAUUAACUUUUAAGCUUUCGAAUUAGAAGAAAUGGCAUAAUUACAAAUUUUGGAUUUCCAAAGUGUGACGACUGUGUCUAAUAUUCUGUCUCAGACUAGUUGUUCGGAUUGCGGUUACGGCUUUUCUGUAAAGCAAAAGACGAUAUUCGUCCAUUACUGAAAACGAGUUCACACUGACCUCAAUAUGGAAAUCUUCGCUAAGAUCAAUAAAGGAAACCCUUUAACGCAAUAUAAACGUUUGUCACUUCACCGUCUCAAAAAGCCACAGCGUUGGAUAUUCUCUAUUUCGAUUCAAGCAAUGCAGAUAAAAAGUGCCUAAAAGGUACAGCAAUCGUUCGUGAUCCAUUUGCUUCGACCUUUAGUGACCUCUCACUACGAGAUGGUAAGAGGAAUAUUCGUUUACCUUUUUUGUCGACUUGUCACAUCGCGACACGAGAGUCAUUGCGUCGUCUCUUAAUUAAAUGCUUUCUUUACCACACCUCCAUUCGGUGUCAAUAAUAUCCCUUUCUCUCCUAUCGUUUGGGUCGUAACGACCUUAUUGCUGAUAUAAACGCACUGCGGUGAUCCAUUCAAUGAACAAAAUCGAUAAAAUUAUCAAUAGCCAUAGUACAUCGUGUUCUACUAAUAGAAUUAUUGCGGGUUUACCUAAUGCACUGCGGCCAAGAAGAAACAUUUUGAAAUUAUCUGUGAGAAGUACCAUCCACUAUAGCAAUGCUAUCCAAUCGUAUCAACCGCAUAUAACAAGGAUGUUAAAUGUAAACGGAAGAUACCCUGUAACCGGCUUUGUAAGGAACUGGUAAACUCGACUUCUCGCUGUUAUGACCUUAGGUGUAUACGUUGGUUUGUGCUUUACCCGUAGAUGACGAUUCCACAUGGAUUUCAAAACGUACAUAAAAGUAUAUCACAUAGUAGUAGUACGACUUUAAUAACGCUACGGGAACCUUUUUUAGGUUGUCAGUGAAAAGUACAAUCCACUAAUCUAACUUUGUGACUCGAGAGUUAACAAUUUUGCUCUGUUAGCUAGUUGCUCGAAAUUAAUUGUGGUCAAACCGCUCUCUGUCAUUAAGCAUAUGCCUGUGCCUGUUUGUAUCAAGGGACGAAAUAGGAUCUGUUAAGUCAUUUCACAUUAACAAAAAAACACGGGGGUUGUGUCUUAUGUUUGUUCAGAUUGCGUUAAGUAUAGAGAAUCCCGAUUACAGGCUGAGACAGGAACAUCUUCGAAGGCUACUGUAGCUGACCGCAAGCCUUAAAUAACAACGAAUCCCACUUAUUGCGCCGAUGUCUCUACCAGACCUACUCAGACGAGGUACAAAAGUGCUCAUCGAAUCGCACCGUGAUGGACGUGGUCUGCGACCGUUGAUAUCGCUACGACAUUUAUGACGAGCUCAUUAUUUCCAGUGCCCAGUUCAACUCUUACGGGCACUGAAGCUGGGCUGAACAUUCGAAUGCCACCGCUGGCACAUACUUGCAGGCGACGACCCGUACCCCAUCGAUGCAAUAGUAAAGUAAGGAUGGGAAUUUGAGGCGCGAGAUUAGCUGAUCUUUUGCUGUUGACGCAUCUGGACUAGCGAGAAAUCGUCUUUUACAGAAACUGCACCUGCAAGCAUUUGUCGUUUAGAGCUUUAGGUCGACCCUGCUGCAGUGUCCAGGUUUCUGAUCACCCUCCAUCGCGUGGCGCCCCGGCGAAAUAUACGCAGUUCCUGCCAUAUAAUAACAUAAACGCAUCAGUCAGGUAAACUACUACGUGACUACUUGCUGGAGAAAGGUGGUAGCCAUGUCUCUUGGCGUUAAUUUCCACUUGGAUGAGAUGUCAUGGCCUAAAUCGCUUUAUGAACUUAAUCAGUUUCACCCGACUGUCACAGCCUAUAAAAAUCCGCUCCAACCGAAAUCGGGAGACUGAACACAUUUCGAAACCUUUUCUCUGCAGCAACACAAACAGUUCUGCUUUGAGCUUUAACUUCCUUUUACGCUAAUAACAGCUUAUAAUGGCAUGAAACUUAGAUGAGUGUUCAUUAUAGUAAUGGAACUAGCUAGCUCAGCGAAAAAUUUAUCAGCGAUUCAACAUUAUAUAUAUUCAAAUUCUACUGGCUUGUGCAAUUUAAAUGAUUCACCAUAUAUGCGUUGAUAUAACAGGAAGUACAAGCCCUACUUGAACAUGAGUCGAUUGCUGUCCUUACCUACUAAUUGAAAUUUUACGAAAAUUCCAAUUAGACGUUUCAAGGAAAAUUUAGCUUGCCGUAUUUUGCGAAAUGAGUAUAUCAUUCAGACAGUAAACACUUCGGCUUUGAGUUGGACUAAAUAAACGUAUGUUUACUAUUAGCGUCUGUCCAAAGUUUCGUGUAGCGUUAUUUCGAAAUUCAGAUAGAUAGAAUAUGAUUCUGUUUCGAAAUUCAGAAACGUCUACUCGAUAAAUACAGUUAAUCCAAUUAAGCCUAUCCAUCCUGAAUAGAAAGCCGCUGUAUAUCAUGUAACGUUUUGCAGUGUUAAUAAUAAUAAGCUAGUUCUACCAGUGCAGAGCCAAUAGUAGGCUGAGGUAGUAUAUUUCGAUUCGGAGAUUUUCUGGGGCUUUUUAAAGUAUCUAUGCGAAGCUAUCUGUCCCAUAAAUGAAAUCGGGAGUUUUUAUAGACGGAGUCGUCCAGCGCGAAUGAAAAGUAACAAAAAUUGUAAUGUAACAUAUAGUGUAGCAAUGAAUAAUAAUGUCGCUGACGGAUACACGGGUACAGUUUAGCUUGUAUGAGUUGCCGUCAGCUCAUUCUAAGGAUUACUGCCAUUAUUUAUUUCGAAAACGUACUGAACGGUCUUAGUUAAACUGGUUUGUCUCAUAUGAGUUACAUUUUGCAGAAUUUGUUUGAUAUCCAAUUAACCGUGUGCUGGCUAAUCGCAGAAAGAACGACUAGAAACUAUUUGAUCUAUUUUCUGACGGGCCUUCUGUAAUGUCAGGCCGAUAAAUUAACAUAUGUAUAUAUAAAUUAACCAGUUAUCACAACGAUGGCAAAACGAUCUCAAAAGCCAACAUCCCAAGGGAUUGUACAGUGAUUCGGGAAACAAUGUUUAUUUCAAGCUUUCCAGAGAACUUUGUGCAGUGUACUUAUACACUGUGGAAAUAUCGCAAUUGUUUUCCCAGUUUUCAGGUAUGACUACAGAUAAAUUAUUACAUGGAGUAAAAAGGCAAACUUAAAUAACUUAAAUGAUUGUAACAUGAACGAGAGUGGCUCGAGAAUCUCCUUGGCUUGAAGCAUGUCUUCAUUUCUCUCUAGCGGCGUUACCUUUUAAUCACAGUUAAUUAAACCCGAUCUAGACAAAUUGUCUCUGCGAACUAUGUGUGUUAUUCCCCUAAUAUGCCGCUUGUUGUCACUAGACGAAUUUUAAUAUUUUUAAUUGUGGAGAAAAUUUAUAUGCGGGACCUACUUCGCCAAAUGAGCCACUUUGCGUCAGAAAAUCGGUUCUAUUCGAACGCAUUAAAAGUGUCCACAGCGCGUAAACGCUAUUCAGAUAUCGGCCGCAUUUUUUCUCACUUUCUGCUAUCUUCCCAUCUUGGGCUUCUGCAGGUGCUUCAACCCCAGCACGCCUGCUGUCCGUUCGUUCAUCCACUUGAACCGCUGUUCACCCCGUUAGGCAUCGGUCCGUUGCGAUGCUUAAUUCGACAGCGUCUGACACCUUAAUAAUCUGUUUUUCUUUGUAGACUUCACCUUCAUUCAAGAACUUAGGUGAUGUGUUCCAACCAUGUAAGCAUAACUUUAUAACAAAACUAAUCGGCGAGAUGAAUCUGCAAUCGGUUCUUAACACAGUUUGCUGCUGGUGUGGAUAACGCUUUGACCGGAUCAAGCAGUGUCCGUUUGUGUUCGAAUCACAGCUGACAGAACAUAGAGCUAUUCUACGAAAUACGCACACCGGACACGCGUUUGCGUUUACUUAGAUAUUCAUGCAAAUUUAUUAUAUUUUAGAUACGUCGGUAUUUAGGCUGAAACAUUGAAUUUAGGAAAAACGCACGAAGCAAGAACGACUCAUAAUGGUGUUGUGGUAAAAUCUGAUAGUGAUAAUUGAAAUUGGACAGCUGUGCAAAGUAAAUAUGUUUCUAGAAUAAUUGCAGCGGGAGAUGUGAAGGACUUGAUAAAGGAUACGAGUAUUAUCGCUGAAAUUGAUCCAGUUGGUAAGAUCAUUUGCUCUGAUAGCGCUACCUUCCCGAAUGUUGAGAAGCAUGGGCGCUCUCUUUUUGAUAAGUACCAGCGGAACACAGCUAACUAAGCUGUUGCUACAAGUUCGAUAAUAACUUCACGGGUAGAAAAGUUCGUUCGAAGACGGGGUUUGCGGUGGGUGAGGGCUUUUUUGUCCUAAUAUGAUAAGGCUUAGAACAUUCGCAGCUUUUGUUGAAGAAUUUUUUUCUGUAAAAUGACAUGAUAUAUAGUUGCGUUAUCGAUUCCGCUUCUGUAAGUUUAAAAGAAUUUUUUUUUAAACAUCUUCAGCUGUUACAUCUACGUGUAACCUCCAUUUUGUAACACUUAGAUCCCUAUCUAUAUAGAAUCCCUAAAAAAAGUGAUCUGAAUUAGACCCUUUUCUCGAUCUUUAUGACCGAUUCGUAGGAUCUGGAACCUUGCAAACCUGGGAACCUUUGUAACUGAACAAACUAGUCCGAAGUGUUUAAUAUUUGCGUUUAAUGUCAAGGAGUUUGCUGGAGUCUAUCACUGAUUGGGAUAGAAUAAAGGCAUUAAAACACCAUAACUCAAAGGGCUUUAAGUCAAAAAUGAUACUUUAAAUACGCCUAAUAGACACAACGUAGCUGAUCUCUUCGUCUAUAAAUGAUAUUCUCAAAAAAGCAUACUUAGAAAUAAUCAUGUGCGGAAGACAGACGUUUGAAUAAGCAAUCUAAAUCAACCUUCAUUAGUGUAACCUCUAAAUCCCAACCUCUGUCGACUAGCGACAAAAUACAUGUGACCACUAUUUUUUUUUUAUUAAUUAGGUAUUUGAGAAAUAUUUGACAAUUUUUGAAUAGUUUAAUAAUCCAAACAAGAAAAAAUUAUAAUUAUUGAUAAUAAUGAGAUGGCCUCUUCGAACAUUGACAGGUAUUAUUUUUAAGAAAAGACGUUUUAUCUUACCGAAGCUUUAUAGAAUUGUUACCGGUUCGUUCCGCCAAUAUGAUGCUGUUAAUUUUAUUAAAUAAUUUCUCUUUCUUCUAAGUGGUUGAACCUCUGCGACGAAGAUUUUUUUGCAGUGGCACACAUUCGAGUGAGUUCUGACCCUGUAAACUAUCUGCUUAUUGACUGUACCUAGGCUAACCGUUGCCGUCCAUUGCGGUGAAUGGGCAAAAACUCAGCCAACGAGGUAAUGACAGGACCUGCCGUGUCGUAUUUUGUAUAUUCGAUCAUCUUAUGUUCAUGUUCAAUUCAUUCUAAACAACAAUUAGACGUUUAUCAUGGAUUGCACUAACUAGGAGUGGUAGGAAAUGCGGGUAAUUUGUCGUGGGAGCAGCCAUCAUUACAUUUGGCUAUUCCAACGUACUUUUACUCAAGGCUUGACGUAGUAGUCCUUAACGAUAAUCGUUGUAUACAAAUUUGAUAGAGCACGGUUCAAUUUAGUGAAAACAAUAAUCUUUGAGGAGAAGAUCGUUACGGGCCAGACGAUCGAAUCAUCCGAUCAUAUGUUAGAAUUGGUGUAAAUUAUGAGUCUGCUAUUCAGACAUAAUUUAAGAUUAUGGGUUGAAUAAUAAAUUGACAAAAGUCCUUAUCAAUACCAGACUACCUUUAUUUAUCAUACUGUUUCCCAGCUACUCAACAGGAACGGAAAGCUUCAUUCUCAUCCAAUUUGUCCUUUCUGCAGGCACUUUACUGUCGUAUUCGUUUACUGCACCGAAAAAGAUGUAGAUGAAUAGCCCUCAUCACAAAUGUUUUUUUAUUUGUUAUCUAAGUUUAUUCGCCGUACAAACAGCAAGAAAUACGACUAAAACAGCAGUGAACCCGAACCAAUGAAAAGUAAAGUCUUCGGCGUAUUUCUACCGGCAUUUCGCAUACACAUUAUUUAUUUUUAAAAAAUACCCACGGUGCUAUCGGCUGCUUGUGGAGCCUGACGCUGCCUCUCAGUCUCGAUAACCAGGGGUACGUGUCGAUAGAGAAUUGAGACAUCACCGCCUUUGGUCUGGUGCAGUGUAUUCUAGAGGGCUAUAUUUCUCGUGCGCCCGACACGGUGCAUAAUGAUUAACGGCAAGCGAUGCAAUUGUGCUUUAGUUUUCUAUGGAAUUAUACUGAUUCACCAUGGGCGGCAGCGGCUUCAGCGUCAGGUCAUAUCAUGCCCGCAUACAAAAAGACCACGUUGUAUAACUGCAACAGCUUGCCAGACCCGGAUCAACGUACGGGUCUGUACACCAGCAGUCUCGGUGGCGCGCGUAGUAAAUGUUGUACCAUGCAUCAUUCCGUCACGACAGUGGCAAGAAGAAGCAGUCAGGUGGAGAUGAAAGUGUCAAGCUAAACAGUGGAUAGCCGACAACUAAUAACGAAGCGAAACACGGCCAUCCGUCGACCGCUGCAGCGACUAACCAUUUAGCAUCGUUAAGUCCUGCGAUGAAUAACCCAUAAACCAGGACCAGUGACAA